GAUGAAGAACGUAGCGAAACGCGAUAUUUCUUGUGAAUUGCAGAAGUGAAUCAUCAGUUUUUGAACGCACAUUGCACUUUGGGGUAUCCCCCAAAGUAUACUUGUUUGAGCGUUGUUUCUCUCUUGGAAUUGCUUUGCUCUUCUAAAAUUUCGAAUCAAAUUCGUUUGAAAAACAACACUAUUCAACCUCAGAUCAAGUAGGAUUACCCGCUGAACUUAAGCAUAUCAAUAAGCGGGGA
rnacentral:misc_RNA from 1 species